rnacentral:tRNA from 9 species
GCGAGCGUGGCGAAACUGGUAGACGCAGCAGACUUAAAAUCUGCCGACUUCGGUCUUGCGGGUUCGACCCCCGCCGCUCGCACCA